AGUGAACGCUGGCGGUAGGCCUAACACAUGCAAGUCGAACGGCAGCACAGUAAGAGCUUGCUCUUACGGGUGGCGAGUGGCGGACGGGUGAGGAAUACAUCGGAAUCUACUUUUUCGUGGCGGAUAACGUAGGGAAACUUACGCUAAUACCGCAUACGACCUACGGGUUAAAGCAGGGGAUCUUCGGACCUUGCGCGAUUGAAUGAGCCGAUGUCGGAUUAGCUAGUUGGCGGGGUAAAGGCCCACCAAGGCGACGAUCCGUAGCUGGUCUGAGAGGAUGAUCAGGCACACUGGAACUGAGACACGGUCCAGACUCCUACGGGAGGCAGCGGUGGGGAAUAUUGGACAAUGGGCGCGAGCCUGAUCCAGACAUACCGAGUGGGUGAAGAAGGCCUGCGGGUUGUAAAGCCAUUUUGUUGGGAAAGAAAAGCAGCAGGUUAAUACCCCGCUGUUCUGACGGUACCCAAAGAAUAAGCACCGGCUAACUUCGUG
rnacentral:rRNA from 1 species